UAGCAUAUGAGUUGAAUUACGUCUUUUAAUGAUACUUUUUAUGUGCUUUUGCAUCCAUUUUGAAGCUUGAAAGCUCGAGCUGCAACUGAAAAGAAUGAUCCUUAUUUGUUUAAAUUUCUCAUUUUGUAUUCCAUGGAAGAAUAAAAUAUUCGUAACAACAUAAGUAAAUGAUAACAGAACAUUCCUUUAAACUUGAAAAAGUAAAAAGAAAUAAAACUUAAAAAUAAAAAUAAAAAACUGUAUAUUAUAGUGCAUAUUAUAUAUUAAAUGAACUGCAUACAUACUCAGAUAAAAGAAUUCCAGCCUCAAUCUCUGAUUCCAGUUUUGAGUAACUGUGUGUAGAGGGGCCUUCAUUUAAAUGCUUGCCAUUCAUUAAAAAUCUGUGUUCUCAUCUCUCAAAACAGACAAAGAAAGAAGAGUGAAGAGAGACAGGGAAAAUGAUGAGAGAGCGAGAAAGAGAGAUGAAGAAGAGAGCAUAUCCUGACAGCUUUCAAAUUCCAGCCUUCACAUGGUGUUGGAAUAGGAAUCCAGCAGCAAGAGAGACGCCUACUCCAGAGGAAAAAAAACAUAAACAUCAAUAACAGAAUAAACUUUCACCAAAGGUAUUAAAGUAGCGAGGU
ensembl:lncRNA